AGUGAACGCUGGCGGUAGGCCUAACACAUGCAAGUCGAACGGCAGCACAGUAAGAGCUUGCUCUUACGGGUGGCGAGUGGCGGACGGGUGAGGAAUACAUCGGAAUCUACUUUUUCGUGGGGGAUAACGUAGGGAAACUUACGCUAAUACCGCAUACGACCUACGGGUGAAAGCAGAGGAUCUUCGGACCUUGCGCGAUUGAAUGAGCCGAUGUCGGAUUAGCUAGUUGGCGGGGUAAAGGCCCACCAAGGCGACGAUCCGUAGCUGGUCUGAGAGGAUGAUCAGCCACACUGGAACUGAGACACGGUCCAGACUCCUACGGGAGGCAGCAGUGGGGAAUAUUGGACAAUGGGCGCAAGCCUGAUCCAGCCAUACCGCGUGGGUGAAGAAGGCCUUCGGGUUGUAAAGCCCUUUUGUUGGGAAAGAAAAGCAGCAGGUUAAUACCCCGCUGUUCUGACGGUACCCAAAGAAUAAGCACCGGCUAACUUCGU
rnacentral:rRNA from 1 species